GUUUGAUCCAACGAGGGUUCCUCCGGCAUCGUUGGAAGGUCUUGAAGAGUAUUCUCAUAUUUGGAUUAUAUACUUAUUCCAUUUAAACACUGAUUUGGAUAAGUUAUGGUUAGAACCUUCCAGAUCGAAGAUCAAGGCCAAGGUGAGGGUGCCACGCUGAAAGGAGGCAAAAAAGGAGUAUAUGCAACAAGAACCCCCCAUCGUCCCAGUCCUAUUGAUCUAACUGUUGCUAAGGCAUGUAGUUCCUGGCCUUAUCGUUAAUUUUAGAGGGUCAUGAAUAGUAUUGAGAUUAGAAGUAUGAAUGUCAUUCAGAGAAAUUACCUCACAAAUUGUCAGGAAAUAAAAUAUACAGGGAUGGUUCGGUUUCAAACCAUUUCAAGAGUAUUAUUGUCAAUUUAUCAUUGGCCAAAGAGAUGUAUAGACAGUGUGAAAUGGAGGUUUGAAGAAUUGUACUCUUCUCAAGAUAACAGUUACAUGGUGUAUCUUUAUUCCUUUUCCUGUUUUGCA